GACGAAGGAUGCAAGCGUUAUCCGGAUUCAUUGGGUUUAAAGGGAGCGUAGGCGGCCUUAUAAGUCAGUGGUGAAAUCUCUCGGCUUAACCGAGAAAUUGCCAUUGAUACUGUAGGGCUUGAGUACAGUUGCCGUUGGCGGAAUAUGACAUGUAGUGGUGAAAUACAUAGAGAUGUCAUAGAACACCGAUUGCGAAGGCAGCUAACGAAGCUGUAACUGACGCUGAGGCUCGAAAGUGCGGGGAUCAAACAGG
rnacentral:rRNA from 1 species